rnacentral:tRNA from 1 species
AAUGAAUUGCCUGACAAAAAGGGUUACCUUGAUAGGGUAAAUUAUGUAUUAAUAUUACAUUCAUUA